UCUGAGUCCCCUGGAACGGGGCGCCAUAGAGGGUGAGAGCCCCGUAUAGUCGGACGCCUAGCCUGUGUAAAGCUCCUUCGACGAGUCGAGUAGUUUGGGAAUGCUGCUCUAAAUGGGAGGUAAAUUCCUUCUAAAGCUAAAUACCUGCCAGAGACCGAUAGCGCACAAGUAGAGUGAUCGAAAGAUGAAAAGCACUUUGAAAAGAGAGUCAAAUAGCACGUGAAAUUGUUGAAAGGGAAGCGCUUAUGACCAGACUUGCGCCGGGGUGAUCAUCCGUCGUUCUCGGCGGUGCACUCGCCCCGGCUCAGGCCAGGAUCGGUUCUUGUGGGGGGAUAAAAGCCCCGGGAAUGUAUCUCCCUCGGGAGUGUUAUAGCCCGGGGUAUAAUACCCCCGCGGGGACCGAGGUCCGCGCAUUGCGAGGAUCCUGGCGUAAUGGUCAUCAGCGACCCGUCUUGAAACACGGACCAAGGAGUCAAGGUUUUGCGCGAGUGUUUGGGUGUAAAACCCGCACGCGUAAUGAAAGUGAACGUAGGUGAGAGCUUCGGCGCAUCACCGACCGAUCCUGAUGUUUUCGGAUGGAUUUGAGUAUGAGCGUAGUGCCUUGGACCCGAAAGAUGGUGAACUAUGCUUGGAUAGGGUGAAGCCAGAGGAAACUCUGGUGGAGGCUCGCAGCGGUUCUGACGUGCAAAUCGAUCGUCAAAUCUGAGCAUGGGGGCGAAAGACUAAUCGAACCAUUAACCUACUAGGUGGUUGAGAGACCGGCCCGGGCCGGUCUAGUGCGCGGCGCGCGGCCGCGUGCGACACUGCCAAAUUGCGGGGACCUCCCAAGAGGUCCGGGGUACCGCGGACGCCCUGAAAAGGGCGGCACGCACCGGGGCUAACACCCCGGGUACGGUAAUAACCCCCGGACGCCGGGACGACCUGCAGCUAACCCCUACGGCGGCGCGCCAGGGGGGAAGUUAACAGACUAGACGGCGGUGGGUUCAGCGGGCGGUCCCGCUGGGCUUAAGGUAUAGUCGCGCCCCG
rnacentral:ncRNA from 1 species